UGACAGCGACUUCUCCAUGACUCUCC
rnacentral:piRNA from 1 species